GGGCCUAUAGCUUAGCCUGGUAGAGCGCUACCCUGAUAAGGUAGAGGUCGGGAGUUCAAAUCUCCCUGGGCCCA
rnacentral:tRNA from 1 species